UGUGAUUGGCAUUAGUUGGCACUGCGAACACUCAGAAGUAGUUGUUGUUAUUGACUUCUUGAAGUUAUUGGAAAUUAAUAUGAAAUAAUAGAAAUUUAUUAUUAUGGAAUAAUGUUAAUACACACAUACCUUGGGUAGAAAUAGAUUAGGAAUUAAAGGGACCGACUUUUCCAAUAGAAUUAAAGGAAGCAUUUGUUGUAAUUAAAAAAAUAAAAAUUUAUCAACUAAACCGUUGGAGAAAAUUGAACAAUGAAAAUUUAAUCAUAGGCGAGAAUGUAAAGCUCUUUCAAGUUAUGUUCGGUGUUCACCAAUAAAAAAACAAAGUUAUCGAAAAUAAAGAAUAAAAGAAGAAAUCCCUUGAAACCUAUGGACGCCAAUGUGAAUCAAGCAUCAACACCUAGCUUCAAAAAGAAGAAACGUCCAGACUCAAUACUUACUCACAAGUUUUCUCAUACUAAGAACGGCUGCAAUAGACGAUUUAAAUACAAGAGCAAUCUCUACCGGUACAUGCUAUAGAGUGCCAAGUAAAAAAAACCAUUCAAAUGUGAAUUGUGUAACUACGAAGCUUCUUAUGCUGCAAACAUUAGAAAGCAUUCCUGUAGUUAUCACAACGAUUCAAUGACUGUUGUGUUGGAUAUGCGUAAGAAUGGACAGAUUUGGAAACUGCCAAAGAAUUCAAAAUUUGAUUCUAUACGAAAAGAACUUGGUUUAUCCAAUUAGUUCUCUUUUAUGUUUCGAGUAUUCAACAAUAUUCUUUUCGACACUCCGUGCGGAAAGUGCGUUUUUUCCGCACGCUCGGCAAAAAACGUGCGUUAAAAAUCACACUUCCCAUACGUCGUAUCAAAAAAUACGGUACGGCACAUGUUCGGGAAAGAGUUUCUCGUCUCGUGUAUCUUUCCACCCUCGCUUCGCUCGGGCGUAAACGCCACACGAGACAAGAAUCUACUUUCCCGCACUUGUAUCGUAAUGUACUAUUUUGGUUCUAUCUGGUUAUCUAUUAUUUAUAUUU